AAACAAGUGCUUGAAGGCAGUAUGCUUGGUAAAAGUCAUCGCCAUUCUCUAAUCUUGAGUACCCAGGGACACGAUACACUGCGGAAGGCUGCAGGGACCUCUGCCCAGGAAAGCCAGGCUUGCAUGAAGGAAAUGAUUUCCUAUGAUUCUGCUUACUGCUUAAAAAAAUUAAUCAAGUUUUCUGCCUGACAAGAUCCAGUAUCUGCCGGAGGAGCCCCACCUUCUGCUACUAUUAUGUUCUUCAGAUGAGUAGAAGAGAGUGGGGAGGGAGAGAGCAGGAAGAAGAAAGGAAGAAUAAUGUCUUGAAAUUGAUGAUGCAUAUCAUAAAUUAUUACUCACCCCAUGUUCCCACCCUCGAGAGACCUCCAAACAAUCACCAUGCCACAGUGAACAUUCAGUAACAAAAAUUCAGCCAGGGUUUUCACCAGCAUGAAUGGCAGUGAUUCCAAUCAGGAAAACAGAAAGAGGAGAGUUCAGAGCCACCUAGAAUGGCUCUUGCAAGAUACGAAAUCAAGGCAGCAGCAACAGGGCUGAACAUUCCUCAUCCCUAACUCUCCCUUCACCAGUAGGAAACCCAGGAUAACUGCAAUCACCGCAGGCCCAUCUGGCCUGAAGUUCUACUACUAGUAGCCCUCCAUGGGACCUUCUUAAGGAAGCAUGUCAACUCAGGUAAGGGAUGUAAGGGGAUGGAUGACCCUUUGAGGCCAAAGUUGGAGCAAAAAACACCAGAUGUUCCUGUGCACUGCUCCUAAGAGAUGGUUCUGAAGACCAGUUCGGGGAGAGGUCAAAAUACUGGACAGAAUCUCAGCAACAUGGAACCUCAAACUAAGUGACAGUCACAGACAACUCUUCCCCAAAGAAAAUAAGCACAGACAUGGUUUGUGGUAAGCAGAAUUAUAAAGAUGAAUUCCCAUCUCCCUGUCAGAUUACCAGUAUGGUAAAUUACCAGAUUACCUGGUUAUUUAUUCAAACACUAAUACAGUUAUUGCCUUGAUGGAAACAUACAGAUACAAUUAAAAUCCCAAGUACCAAAUAAAUUGACCUUAAGACAAAGACUAAGUAAAUCACAUGAGCCCUCUACAAGCAGAGAGUUUUUCUCCAGCUGGUAGCAGAAGCCAGAGAUUUGAAGCAUAGGAAGUAUUCAACACAUUAUUGCUGGCCUGAAAAUGGAAGGGGCCACAUAACGAGGGAAACCGGUGGCCUCUAGAAGCAGGGAGCAGUCCCCUGCUGACAGACAGCAAGCCAAGACCUCAGUUCUACAAUUGCAAGACACUCAAUUCUGCUAAGGACAAAAAUGAGCUUGGAAGUGAACUCUGAGCUUCAGGUGAGAACACGGCCAAACAACACCUUGAUUUCAGCUUAAACAAAGAAUGCAGCCACUCCAUGCCAGAAUUCUGACCUGUAGAAAUUUGAGCUAAUAAAUAGAUGUUUUAAUAGCUUCAUC
rnacentral:lncRNA from 1 species